UCCUACGGGGCGCAGCAGUAGGGAAUUUUCGUCAAUGGGCGCAAGCCUGAACGAGCAAUGCCGCGUGAACGAGGAAGGUCUUCGGAUCGUAAAGUUCUGUUGAAGGGGAAAAAGAGCGGAGAGAGGAAAUGAACUCCGAUUGAUAUUACCCUUCGAGGAAGUCACGGCUAACUACGUGCCAGCAGCCGCGGUAAUACGUAGGUGGCGAGCGUUAUCCGGAAUGAUUGGGCGUAAAGGGAGCGUAGGCGGCCUGCUAAGUCUGGAGAGAAAGGUACCGG
rnacentral:rRNA from 1 species